UUCGUGCCGCUCCCCACGGCGCUGUCGCUCGACGACCCGGCGUACAGGUGCCCCCAGGAGACCAAUGUUUCCUCCGGGGUGCUCUCCACCUGCUGCGUCCUCACCCCGGAGGCGGAGGCCAACGCCACCGUCAUCAACGCCAACGCCACCGACCCGACCAAGAACUUCCUCCCCCGCGGCACCGGCGACCUCGUCAUCACCUACGACGUGCUCCAGGCCUACCCCUCGAGCUACCUCGCGCUCGUCACGCUCG
rnacentral:lncRNA from 1 species